ensembl:lncRNA
AUGGGGCCCCCAGCCAGGAUGUGGGUGGUGGAAUAAGUGCUCUUGGAGGGAGCCGUGUUCUUCUGGGAACAGAAUCAGCACACUAGCUGAGCAACAAAUGCAGAAGUCUUGAAUGAAGUUAGACAAGAAGAUAAAUUGGACGUGAUUUUUCCAAUGCAUAAAGGAAUGAUGGCAAGUGGUGAAGACAGGCAGAACCACCAGAUUAGAAAGAACAUAAAUCACUGAAACCUUGAGGAGGAAAAUUGCCUGCAGGACUUCACAUGAGUGUGACUAAGCACUAAACUUCCACUAUGGCUUCAGAAGAACUAAAAAUAACUGGGUGAAAAAUCUGAAAGGCAAAGCUGCUCUAUCUGCCAGCAUUCUAAGGAGACAGGAUCCAGCUCAAUCAGAAGAGAGUGUAUCUCUGCCCUUCUGGAUGAUUAAAGCAAACUGGCAUCUUGUAUCAGUUUGGGAGCUAGAGCCCCUGGAUUGUCGGAUGCUCAUAGUUAAUAGACUUACAUUUUUCUUCUUCAUCCAUUAACAUUAUUCCUGUGAACACCUAUGCUUCUGUGUAAAAAUGAAACUGCCCUUAAAUUAUGCUUGGUCUUCACUUUCUGUAUCUAAAGUAAAUAAUAAUAAUAAACUAGUAAAUUU